GCCUGGGUGGCUCAGUCGGUUAAGCAACCGACUUCGGCUCAGGUCAUGAUCUCGCGGUCCGUGAGUUCGAGCCCCACCUCGGGCU
rnacentral:tRNA from 1 species